rnacentral:rRNA from 1 species
UUGCCCUCUCCUUUCUCAUAGUGUUAUCUACACACUAUAACAGCUAAAAGUUGUUCUCUUAGCACUCCGGGUAACCUUAUCACACUUUCGUGCAUUGUAAAGGUUUCGCGCCUGCUGCGCCUCGUAAGGCCUGGGACAUUGUCUCAGUUCCCAUCUCAGGGCUACCGCUCUCACGGCCCUGACCGAUCAUAGGCUUGGUGAGCCAUUACCUCGCCAACAACCAUAAUCGGAAGCGAUCCUAUCCUUCAGCGAACUUACCGCAUUUAGUAAGUCCCUGGUCAAAGCUGGCAGCUUAACUGUCAGUUCGCUAGGAAAACUGCUUCACUAGAGGGCGGGAAAGGUCUGAGGUACUCCAGGGGUAGCGGUGAAAUGCGAUAAUCCUUGGGGGACCACCAGUGGCGAAAGCGUCAGACUGGAACGCGCCUGACGGUGAGGGACGAAAGCCAGGGGAGCGAACGGGAUUAGAUACCCCGGUAGUCCUGGCUGUAAACGAUGCACGCUAGGUGUUGGUAGGGCUAUGAGCUAUAUCAGUGCCGUAGGGAAACCGUUAAGCGUGCCGCCUGGGAAGUACGCUCGCAAGAGUGAAACUUAAAGGAAUUGGCGGGGGAGCACCACAAGGGUGAAGCCUGCGGUUCAAUUGGACCCAACGCCGGGAAACUUACCGGGGGCGACAGCAGAAUGAAGGUCAGGCUGACGACCUUACCAGACAAGCUGAGCGGAGGUGCACGGCCGUCGCCAGUUCGUGCCGUGAGGUAUCCUGUUAAGUCAGGCAACGAACGAGACCCACACACUUAGUUGCCAUCAAAAGCCUUCGGGUUUGUUGGGAACGCUAAGCGGACUGCCAUCGUACAGGUGGAGGAAGGAGUGGGCCACGGCAGGUCAGUAUGCCCCUAAUCCCCCGGGCCACACGCGGGCUGCAAUGGUAUGGACAAUGGGUUGCGACUCUGAAAAGAGAAGCCAAUCUCGAAACCAUAUCUCAGUUGGGAUUGUCGGCUGUAACCCGCCGACAUGAACGUGGAAUCCCUAGUAAUCGUGUGUCAUCAUCGCACGGUGAAUACGUCUCUGCUCCUUGCACACACCGCCCGUCGCUCCAUCCGAGUGUAGUAUGCUUGAAAAAUGGUCCCUGGGGUCAUUUUGAAAGUGUGCUACGCGAGGUGGGAGAAGUCGUAACAAGGUA